rnacentral:lncRNA from 1 species
AAGCCCCUGGCCUCAUCAAGACCCAAGCUGAGGCCUCAGGAGGAUGUCAGGCCCCAUCCAUGCUGACUGGAGCCCUGGGCUGACCCACGGUGAGUCUUCAGGAAGAUGUGAGGUGCAUACCUACUGACAGGAGCCCCUGGCCUCCUCAGGAACCGCUAUGAGUGUUUGGGAGGACGUGGGGCCGUAUCCCAGCUGACAGGAGCCCCCGGCCUCCUCAGGACCUGCUGUGAGGCUUUGGGAGAUGUGAGGCGGUGUCCACAGUGACUGUAGCCCCAGUUGUCCUCAGAACCCAUUGUUUAUGGUUCAGGAAGACAUGGGGCCCCAUACACACUGACAGGAGCCUGGUGUCCUCAGGACUGGCUGUGGACCUGCUGGAGGAUUCUAGAGCCAUUGGUCGGAUACACAGCGACUUCGGCAGGGACUACUCAAAAACACAGGAGGUGACAGCGCGGACGACACUGCCUGUUGUCCUUGGAGAGGAGUGGACAGCAGGGCUGACACUGCAUGGGGUCCCAGGAGAGGAGGGGACAGCGCGUUCAACACAGCCUGGUAUGCCUGGAGAAGAGGGGACAGCACAGCUUACACUACCCAGUGUCCCAUGACAGGAGGGAAUAACAGAGCAUAUGACACUGCCAUGUCUCCAAACAGGAGGGAACAGCGUGUCUGACACUGCACAUGGUCCCAGGAGAGGCAGAGACCGCACAGUUAACACUGACCAGGGUCCCGGUAGAGGAUGGGACAGCACGGCCAACCCUACCUGGUGUCCUGGAAGAGGAGGGGACAGGGCGACCAACAAUGCCUGGCAUCCCAGGAGAGGAGGGGAGAGUGCAGCUACACUGCCUGGUAUCCCUUGAGAAGAGGGGACAGCGCAGUUUACACUACCCAGUGUCCUGUGACAGAAGUAUGAUGACUUUUCCUGCCUUCAUCUCCAGACCCAAGGAUACAGAACAAAGGCAACACAGAUCUGCACACUUCAAAAUGUCAACUGGAAUCUGCAAGCCCAGGUUCUCACAGGAGCUAAAGGUUAAAGGCCAAGGUGACAGGGGAGGCAGAUAGCAAGUAACCAAGAGAAAAUGUCAUGUGUCUGUGGCCACCUUCUCUACCUGUCAGAACCAAGCCACGGCUGACAGGUGGGAGCCACACCUGGACCUGGCCCCUCUGCCCGGGCUGCCCUUGAGCAUAGCAGAGGAAAUGCUGAGCUGGGUGUAGGUGUCCGGGGGAGAUGGGCAGUUGGCCACAGAGGCUACCUGCCAAGUACCUGUAGGACCAGUUCCUGGUCCUCAGCUAAGGUUAAACAACCAUUAUGUUUAUUUAUAUAUUUACUUGACAGGUAAUGUGCUCAGUGCUUUGAGAGACUAUAGUCUCUCCUAUCUUAUUUUUUUAACACUUUAUGGAGGUAUGAUUGAGAUACAAAAAGCUCUCCAUAAUUAAUGUAUGCAACUUGAUCCUGACCCUAACCCGAAUAUCUAGCUAGGAUUUAGAAUAUGUUCUGAUUUAGAAUAUGGUUCGUAAAUUAUAUGACGGGUUUUAGGAGCUGGGGAAUCCAGGACCAACCUUACCCUCCCUUGAAUGUGAUAGGUUGUAACACAUUCCGCCACAUGCUAUCUGCAGAGUGACCACACGAGGGCACCAGUGAGCACACAGCGCAAACCCCGCCCCCCACAAAGCCAAUGCUUCCCUCAUCCUGUACAACCUUGCUCAUUCAAUGUUUACAGAUCAUUUUAUAGAUUAUUAAAACUGUGACUUUGUUGAAUUUUUUAAAAGCCAAACUAAUUCCUUGAAACUGUUAAAAUUAUGUUUUCUAAAAUUCUCGGAGUUGGUCCUGGGGAGCAAAUGAAAACCUGGGGGCCUGGGAAAAACUGGUAUUGAAUACUUUAAGAUCUACUUAGAUAACAAGUAUGAAUUAUACUCUACUUAUUUUCAGAAAUAAUUCGUCUCAACUAACAGUAUUGAACUCACACAAUACAGUGCAUUUCGAGGGGAAAACAAAAAACAAGAAUCAACAGCCUCAAGAAGCAGAGAAAGAGCCACACCCAGGAACAAAGAAUGCACACCUCAGAGGCUGUGCUCAGGCCAGUGAGCAGUCUGCAGAUCCUCUGUAGCUAGAAUGCCCCCUGUGCCCCAGGAAAUAGUGGGUUGGGCAGAGCUUGUACCCUGAUGAUGCACUGUCCUAACCAAUAGCAAGUCUCCUAGUCAUUUCCUCCAUGAGACACCUCCAACCCCUGACUCCUCCAGCCUGUUUCUUGGAACUCCCGAUUCUCUUUUUGGCCUCAUUGUUUACUUUUCCCUUCACUUACAUAGUAUAUGUAUAUGUUUAAUUACAUACUAUUCUGUCAUUUAAAUAUUUUUGUCAUGUUCUCAAUGAAACUAUGAUUUGCACCAUCCACCCUGAUUUACAAUCACUUAUUGAUAUUGCACGACCUAACUGGGGACUCAGAAUACCCUCACAGUGUUCUGGCAAGGUCCUCACUAAGCCAGUUCAUCCUGCAGCUGUUGCAGUGAAGGCCUGAUCCAGGCACUGCUAUUUUUGUGCAAGUAAGACAGCACUAGCCAAAACUUCGGCUCAGCCACAUCAAAUGGCAUGUAGGCCCACCCUGAAGACACUUGCUAGUCCAGUGUUCCCCUAGUUAAUGUCCAUGCAACAGCCAUUGUGUCAAAUGGGAACUCACUAUGAGAGGGGUGGAUGACAGACAGAAUUCCUGAGAUAGAAUCUAUCUUGGAGACUACCUAGGAGUUCAUCACAUAGUUCUUGAAUGAAUAAAUUAAUCUAAAAAUAUUUCCUAAUUUUAUAAAUGAUGAACCUGAAUCUCACAUUGACUCACCUAAGUCGUAUUGGAAAUCAGUGACAGAGCCAGACUGAGAUUGAGUAUGACCUCCAGUGUGAAUACUGAGAGUGGCUUUCGCUGGAGCCACAACCACCCAUUUAACUUUUCUGGACUGACAGGCUCUGGUGUAACUCUUUGUGUGGCAUAUCCUGGGAACAAAGAUCAUGUCAGUGUCCCAGAAAUCUCUUACACUGAUUAUAAUGAGACUUUAUAAUGCCAAUGGAGUCCCAAG